UAUUGGCAAAAAUGAUGAUUCAAUUAGAUGUGUGAAGGAAUUUACUUCCUUAUGAACACAAAAAAUUUGAGGCAUAUUGAAUUCCUGACUUGCCAUG